rnacentral:rRNA from 1 species
UACGGAGGAUCCAAGCGUUAUCCGGAAUCAUUGGGUUUAAAGGGUCCGUAGGCGGUUUUGUAAGUCAGUGGUGAAAGCCCAUCGCUCAACGGUGGAACUGCGUCUGAUACUGGAUGGCUUGAGGUUGGGAGAGGGAUGCGGAAUUCCAGGUGUAGCGGUGAAAUGCGUAGAUAUCUGGAGGAACACCGGUGGCGAAGGCGGCAUCCUGGACCAAUUCUGACGCUGAGUGAGCGAAAGCCAGGGGAGCAAACGGG